rnacentral:tRNA from 1 species
AGGGAUAUAACACAGUUGGUAGAGUGCUUGCCUGGCAUGCACAAGACCCUGGGUUCAAUUCCCAGCAUCACAA